UUUGCACACAGCUUUCUCUCUGGAACCCCGAGGGCUGCUGUCUGUAGGCUCCAGCUGGAGCUGGGGCUGCUCAGCCUGUCCCCUCCCACUCUGCAGAGCUGCGUAGGUGGCAGGGAUGGGAUCCCCAGGAGAUAACGGGAUGAGGAGCUCUGUGGGACAGCUCAGAGCAUUUCCUCAAGUGGAGGAGCCCUUAAAGUCUUCUUCCUCCUCUGUCUUCUCACCUUCCUCUGGUUUUUAAUGAGCAUAGAAGCGGAGCUCAGUGCUGGCCUGCAGUUAUCCCUCAGAUCUGUAGCAGAGGGAAGCUGAGUGUUUCCUUGCCAGCAGAACAUUGUGCCUGCAGAAGUCCUUCCCACCACCUGUGCUCCUGCUCUGUGCUGAAACUGGGGCAUCCCCCCGUGCUGCGUGCAGGAUGGGAGCUGUGGGCUGCCUUGGUGGCUCCCUAUAAGUCCCGUGCUCCUUCCAAAGCCCCGCUGGCCAUCCUGCCUUGCUGUGAGCAGCGUUCCCAGCAAGGGAGUGGGCUUGCAAUCUGGGUUAGGUAUGAAGCAGUGCCGAGAGUGCUGACAUCAGGAGGAGGGUGGGAGGCAGCUGCACAUGACGCGUCCAUGAGGUUGCCUCUCCGCAAGUGUGCAGUAGGAAAUCUCCACGCUUUCG
rnacentral:lncRNA from 1 species